rnacentral:lncRNA from 1 species
AACAACCCCACACACAAAAUUGCUCUCAAACCAUAAAAAAAAACAAGUCUUGUUUGCUUUUCUUGAAGUUUCAGCUGCUUUUUGUUGCAAAGGUUGAAACUUUAUCCAGUGAAAAAUGAAGUCUUGGCAGUCUGGUGAUGUUUGCUUAACUUUCUCUUUAGAAUUUUAGCUAAUUUUUCCUCUGGUUUUUGGUACCAUUUUGUGUUCAUAGGGUUAAGAAUGUUACUGUGGAAGUGAUGGUUUUUGUGCUUAUCAUAACAUUUUGCCUUGUGGGGUUUUGAAAGUUUUGAUUUUUGUGGUGUUUCAUAAGAUUUUGCCUUGUGGGGUUAUCAAGAUUUUGAAGUUUUUUUUGAUGAUUUAGAUGGAUUCUGGUAGUUUAUAUUCAAACAUGGGUCCUGGUAUGUUGGGAUUAGAAAUGUCAUUGCAUCAUCAAAUCCCUCCACAGAACACUCACCAUCACUUGCAUCAACAACCUCCACCUCACCCCCAGCCCCAACCCCACCACCACCCCAUGGUUUCAUUUGCACAUCAAGAAAAUAAUGAUAACCAACAACAAACAUUGAGGCAAGUUUUUCCAUUUGGUAGCAACAAGGCUAAAAAUCAAAGCUUGAAUUUUAGUGAUGAUGAUGAACCUGUUCCUGGUGUUAGUGCUGACAAUAAUAGUACUGAUGAUGGUAAAAGGAAUGGUAAUAAGACUUGUCCUUGGCAAAGAAUGAAGUGGACUGAUAAUAUGGUUAGGUUGUUGAUUAUGGUGGUUUAUUAUAUUGGUGAUGAAGUUGGUUCUGAAGGGAAUAUCAACAAUGAUUCAAGUGGGAAAAAGAAAGGUGGGAGUGGUGGGGGUGGGGGUGGGGGUGUAGGGGUUUUGCAAAAAAAGGGGAAAUGGAAAUCAGUUUCUAGAGCUAUGAUGGAAAGGGGUUUUUAUGUGUCACCACAACAAUGUGAAGACAAAUUCAAUGACUUGAAUAAAAGGUACAAGAGGGUUAAUGACAUUCUUGGAAAAGGUACUUCUUGUAGAGUUGUGGAGAAUCAAAAGUUGCUUGAAACAAUGGAUCAUUUAUCACCAAAAAUGAAAGAAGAAGUGAAGAAGUUGUUGAAUUCUAAGCACUUGUAUUUCAGAGAAAUGUGUGCUUAUCAUAAUAGUUGUGGUCAUAAUGGUGGUAGUGGGAGUGGAGUUGCUAAUCCACAAGCUCAUCAAAACCAAUCAGAGCAGCAACAACAGCAACAGAGGUGUCUGCAUUCAUCAGAAAAUACAAAUCCAAGAAUUGGUGCUAGUUUAGUAGUAGGGUCUAAAAUGCCAAAAGGGGGGGAAAAUGACGAGGAGAACGAGGACGAGGACGAGGAGGAUGAAGAUGAGGAGGAUGACGAUGAUGAGGUGUCUGGUGCAAGAGGAGGACACGAACACGAUCAUCAGAGCCACGAAGAGGAGGACGAUGACAUGGAUGAAAGAUCAAGAAAGAGGCAAAGAAAGUUGGGAACCUCAUCACCAAUGGUACAACAAUUGAGUACUGAAUUGGCUAAUGUAGUUCAAGAUAGAGGGAGGAGUUCACUUGAGAAGAUGCAAUGGAUGAAAACUAAAAUGAUGCAAUUAGAAGAACAACAUGUUAGCUAUUUGUGUCAAGCAUUUGAGCUCCAAAAGCAAAGAUUGAAAUGGAAGAAGUUUAUAAGCAAGAAGGAGAGGGAAAUGGAAAGGGAUAAACUAAUCAAUGAGAGGAAAAAAUUGGAGAAUGAAAGAAUGGUGCUUUUGUUGAAACAAAAAGAGCUUGAACUUCUUGAUUAUCAUCAACACCAUCCAAACAAUAACCAUAGGAAUAGUGACCCUUCUUCUGUUACUGGAUGAUGAAAAAAUUGUACAAUAUUAUCAGGAACUAAGAUAAUAGAUCAGAUAUAUUAUGUAAAUAUAUAGUAUGUAUGUAUAUAUGUUUUUCCAAAUUUGAAUCUUGAAUCAAAGUCUUUUAUUGCUUCUUAAUAGUUUUCCACUGAUCUGAUCUAACUUUAGUUUAUAUCUAUUAUGUUUGCUCGGACUCUUUAAAAAAGUUGAUGUUUAUAUCUAUUAUGUUUGCUCGGACUCUUUAAAAAAGUUGAUGACACAGUGUGUAUCACAUACUCCUGAAGUAGUCCAUUUUGGAGACUCUUUAAAAAUGUUGAUGACGAGUGUUUAAGAUACUCUUUAAAGUAGUUCAUUGGAAAGUUCGAGC